UUCGAUUGAGUUUGAUCCUGGCUCAGAUUGAACGCUGGCGGCAUGCUUUACACAUGCAAGUCGAACGGCAGUGGGGGCUUCGGCCUGCCGGCGAGUGGCGAACGGGUGAGUAAUACAUCGGAACGUGUCCUUAAGUGGGGAAUAACGCAUCGAAGGAUGUGCUAAUACCGCAUAUCUCUCAGGAGGAAAGCAGGGGAUCGAAAGACCUUGCGCUAAAGGAGCGGCUGAUGUCUGAUUAGCUAGUUGGUGGGGUAAAGGCUUACCAAGGCAACGAUCAGUAGCUGGUCUGAGAGGACGACCAGCCACACUGGGACUGAGACACGGCCCAGACUCCUACGGGAGGCAGCAGUGGGGAAUUUUGGACAAUGGGCGAAAGCCUGAUCCAGCCAUGCCGCGUGAGUGAAGAAGGCCUUCGGGUUGUAAAGCUCUUUUAGUCGGAAAGAAAGAGUCAUAGUAAAUAGCUAUGAUUUAUGACGGUACCGACAGAAAAAGCACCGGCUAACUACGUGCCAGCAGCCGCGGUAAUACGUAGGGUGCGAGCGUUAAUCGGAAUUACUGGGCGUAAAGGGUGCGCAGGCGGCCUUGUAAGUCAGAUGUGAAAGCCCCGGGCUUAACCUGGGAAUUGCGUUUGAAACUACAAAGCUAGAGUGCAGCAGAGGGGAGUGGAAUUCCAUGUGUAGCAGUGAAAUGCGUAGAGAUGUGGAAGAACACCGAUGGCGAAGGCAGCUCCCUGGGUUGACACUGACGCUC
rnacentral:rRNA from 1 species